AGGGAUAUAUAAUCAACAGGGAGAGUGUCCACGUCCUCAAUUUAAAUCAGCCAAUAAGAAUUAUUCUUUUUGCCACGUAUGCUAUUUUAGCCCAAAACAUGGAAACCAACUUCGAUUGUGAUUCAUCUUCCUCGAUUCCAACUGUUUUUUUUUCUUCAAGUUUUCAUUCUUCAACGCCUCCUACGGUCCUACCUAAUUAGGGUGUGGAAGAGCCGUCUAUUCUCUUCAUCUCUUCGUCUCUUUUUUUUUUUUGCUCAAACAUCUCUUUGUCUCUAUCUCUUCCUCUCUGUCUCUCUCUCUAUGUCUCUCUUCCAAUGAUGAAUCCACAAGGCCAUCCCGAACCUGAUUCCGAACCUCCUCCGACGAUACCUUGAGUCGAUGGGUGUUGAGAUGAGGAAUGGUGAAGAAACUAAAUGUGUUUUUCCCUUGACGAGUCUCCUUUGCGGUUUGGUGGGUUGAUUGAAAAGUUAAGGUCUUUUGAUCCUGUUUUGUGUUCUAAUUCUCUGUAGUUAAGGCUUUUUACUGAGAAAAUCUUUUGGGUGAUGCAGAUCUUUGAUAGUUUUCAGAGAAGUAUCAAUUUUUAUUGAAUUGCCUUUGUUGGUUUGUGAGGUUUGUUCCUCUGUUUCGCCGCCGCAGAAGGAGAGGUUUAUCCGAGGAAUAGGAAAGUUUGAUCUGCGGCAACGAGAUGGAAGAAGCUUGGUUUCGUCUGUGUUAUCUCUCUCAAACUAGAUUUGAUUUUGAAAUGGCUUGAGGAGAUGAGAAAAGAGGACGAGGAGAGGAAGGUUUAUAUAGAAGGAAGGACGAAGGGUGAGAGAAAAGAAGUAACUUCGAAAUUGUCAUUCACCCUCCAAAAACGACUACGUCAAUUAUGGCAGUUGAGCCGCUCAUUUUCUCUUUAAUUAUCAAUAGGGUGACACAAAGGGAUCAGCAAAAGGUGGGGAUGCAAAUUCAAAGAAAGAGGUCAAUCAAGCCAAAAUGGCCAGAUCCUCAAGUUCAAGAUCGAGCUUCUGAACAAGACCAACAUGGUUGAUUACGCCAUGGACAUCCACAAGAGUCUCCACCACACAGAAGACGCUCCCCAAGAUAUGGAGGAAGCGGCUGCAUUGCUCGUGACGUUCCUUUUGAACCCUAAUGCUGUCCAGGAGCUAAGAGGUGAUAAGAAAUACAAUCUCCAGAUGCUGAAAGAACGGUACCAGAUUGGUCCAGACCAGAUUGAGGCGUUGAAUCAGUACGCCAAGUUUCAGUUUGAAUGUGGGAAUUAUUCAGGUGCUGCUGAUUAUCUUUCCAGUACAGGACUCUUUGCUCUAACCUUGAGAGAAGUAUGAGUGCCUUGUGGGGGAAGCUAGCAUCUGAGAUAUUGAUGCAGAACUGGGACAUUGCGCUUGAAGAGCUCAACCGUCUCAAGGAUAUUAUUGACUCAAAACUGCUGUUGGGUUGCAGAAGUCACGAUUCUGGUGUGAGCCGCUUGUUCCCAGAUGCUCGAGGAGACACUAUAUGUAAAGAACUCACACAGACACCGCAAUCUCAUUAAGUAUCUAAAAGACUAUAUUGACUUCAUUUCCACAAAAUAUCCUUUUUGGAAUCGAACUUCUGGAGCUGAUCAUUUCCUUGCCGCCUGCCAUGACUGGGCUCCAUCGGAGACACGGAAGCAUUUUUCCAAGACUAUAAGGGCGUUGUGUAACUCGGAUGUUAAAGAAGGCUUUGUCUUUGGAAAGGACACAUCUCUACCGGAGACAUACGUUAGAUAUCCCAAGAAACCACUAAGUAACAUCGGUGGCAAGUCUGCGUCCAAAAGGCCAACAGUAGCUUUCUUUGCUGGUCAACCCGAUCACGGGUACGUUAGGCCAAUACUACUCUCUUACUGGGGUGAACAACAAAGAUCCUGACCUGAAAAUUUUCUGGAAGCUUCUGAGGUCUAAAGGAAACAAGAACUAUCUUCAGUUCAUGAAGACGAGCAAAUACUAUUUUCUAUGGUUGUGUUCCAGUAAUCAUAUCUGAUAACUUUGUGCCACCUUUCUUCGAGGUUUUGAAGUGGGAGUCGUUUGCGGUUUUUGUGUUGGAGAAAGAUAUACCCAACUUGAAGAAGAUUUUGAUGUCUAUAUCGGAACGUAGGUAUAAGCAAUUGCAGAUGAGAGUGAAGAGAGUACAGAAGCAUUUUUUUGUGGCAUGUGAAGCCUGAGAAGUAUGAUAUGUUUCACGUGAUUCUUCAUUCUGUUUGGUUUAACCGAGUUUUCCAAAUUUCGGUUUAGAAGUUCUUUAUCAAACAAACAAUUCAUUUAUACAUUUUUUCACAGGAUAAAUCCAAUAGGAGUUUUAAAUAAAAAAAAAUUAGUGAUACAUUAUAUUGUUUACUACA